rnacentral:lncRNA from 1 species
GUCCCCCUGUUUCCAGGUCAAGACCUUCACCCUGCGCUCAUCAUGUAAGCCACUUUGUAAUCUUAUUGUGCUGUCUUUUCUCUGUCUUUCUGUCAGGAAGGAUUUGGGAAUGUUUUCAGAGAUGUUUUCCUUCUCUCAUUUUAGACCAUGAUCAUUUUAAUGCUACAGUUCAGAAACAAGGAAAUUUAGUUGAUGAAAGCACAUUCCAUGAACAUCAAGGAAAUUUUAGUAAACUGCAGUAGGAUUUUUCCAUGUUAGUGCUUGCAAAAUUUGUCGCUGUCAACUGAAACAUGAGUGUAUGUUUUCAUUUUCCAAGCUAGUGCUUGCAAAAUUUGCAAGCAUUGUUCUUUUAUUUUAUUUCUUUGUACAAUAUGGCAGUAGAGACCAUGCCAGUAGAGACCACAACAGUAGUGACCAUGACAGUACUGAACAUAUGCUCCCCUGAAUUUUUUAUGCUCCUACUCCACUUUAUGAUUUUUUUUAACUGCCAAAUGACAAUUUACUGAAGAUGCAGAGAAGAUGCUAGUAGUAUCUCUCACAAGUUAACUUAAUCUUGGAAAGUUCACUUUAUGUGCUCACAUUCGAUCGUGUGUAAUAGUUCUACGAAGGUAAUCUUGUAGAGAAUAGGCUUAAGAACCCUGCUUUUAUACAUAGUUUAAUUUUAUGCUCAAUAGACCAGCAACAUGACUCUACUUCUGUAUGUUGUGUAAUUAAUUAAUCCAGAGUAAGAAUCUUGGAAAGUUGGAAGGCCUAUCUGCAUGAAGAAAAACUACAAGUGAAUGCCCACCAUUUUGAAAGCUUUUCCUCCUGUGGGUGCUCUGACAGCUCAAAAAAAAAGUGAUGACAUAUUAAAUUCCUUAAUAAUGUUCUUUUAUCUUGAGGAAAUUGACAGCAACAGUAGAUCAGAAAUUGCUUCUACUCUAGGUGAGGUUCAGAAAUUAUCCAAAGAUUCAGUUAACUUUUGUUAACAUUCAGUUAACCGAUGAACUUUGGACAUCGAGGGACACAUUCAGUUAACUUCUGUGUUAACUGAAUCUUUUUUGCAACAUUUCUGCAGAGUACUCUCACCGGCAGCAUGAUCAAUUGUGUUUGAAAUUAAUGAACAAGUGCAAGGAUCAGAAAAUGGAGCUUCUUCUCACCGGCAGCAUGAUCAAUUGUGUUUGAAAUUAAUGAACAAGUGCAAGGAUCAGAAAUUGGAGCUUCUUCUCACCGGCAGCAGCACAAGCAGGGUAGCUCC